CGUGGGAGCGGGCUUGCUCGCGAUGCAGGCGAUGCGGUUUUCAGUUAAACCGUGUCGUGCCAAUCGCGAGCAAGCCCGCUCCCACA
rnacentral:antisense_RNA from 1 species